rnacentral:rRNA from 2 species
AUUUCCCAUUACGCAAGUAAGUAAGAUCCCUCAAAGACGAUGAGGUAGAUAGGUUCGGGGUGGAAGCGUGGCGACACGUGCAGCUGACGAAUACUAAUCGAUCGAGGACUUAACCAAA